AAUAACACUUCAGUACAAACCAAAUCUUGUUUCUUCUUUGGUCUCAUCUUCCUAAAACUACAAAAAUGUCUUAAAACAUUUUCAACAACUUAAAUUUUUCAACAUUAUAGAUCUUUAAAAUUUUCUAGUUUUACUUAUUUUGGAAAUCAUUCAUUUUCUUUGAUCAUAUGGAUCCAUUUCCAAAGAAAAUGAAAAAACAAUCACCACCACCGCCAAAUUCAACUCGGUCACCGGACUCAUCACCAUUUCCAGACGAAGUACUGGAUCGAGUAUUGUCUCUACUAAACUCAAACAAAGACCGGAGCUCCGUAUCUUUAGUAUGCAAAGACUGGUACAACGCAGAGAGCUGGUCAAGAACUCAUGUUUUCAUCGGAAACUGUUAUGCAGUUUCGCCGGAGAUCGUGGCUCGCCGGUUUCCUAGGAUUAAGAGUGUUACUUUAAAAGGGAAGCCCAGAUUUUCAGAUUUUAAUUUGGUUCCGAGGGACUGGGGUGCUGAUAUUCAGUCGUGGCUGGUGGUUUUUGCUCAAAAAUAUCCGUUUCUUGAAGAACUUAGGCUUAAAAGAAUGACUAUUAGUGAUGAAAGUUUGGAAUUUUUGGGUGUUAAUUUUGUGAAUUUUAAAGCUUUAUCACUUCUUAGCUGUGAUGGUUUUAGCACUGAUGGGAUUGGUGCCAUUGCUGCUCAUUGCAGGAAUUUGACGGAGCUUGACAUACAAGAGAAUGGCAUUGAUGAUAAGAGUGGCAGUUGGUUGAGCUGUUUUCCUGAAAGCUUCUCAUCAUUGGAAGUACUGAAUUUCGCCAACUUUAAUAGUGAUGUCAAUUUCGAUGCACUUGAGAAACUUGUGAGUAGGUGCAAAUCAUUAAAGGUUUUGAAGGUCAACAAAAAUGUUUCCUUAGAACUACUACAAAGGCUGCUUAUUUGUGCCCCACAAUUAAUAGAACUUGGUACUGGAUCUUUCUUGCAAUUACGAACUUCCCGUCAGUUCACUGAGCUUGAGAAUACAUUCAGGCAUUGCAAGAACCUGAAAAUUCUUUCUGGUUUAUGGGAAGCAAUGGCGCCAUAUUUACCAGUUCUCUACCCCGCUUGCACAAACUUGACUUUCUUAAAUUUGAGUUAUGCUGCUUUGCAAAGUUAUGAACUUGCUAAUCUUCUUGGCCACUGUCCACAGCUUCGUCGUCUAUGGGUCCUUGACACAGUAGAGGACAAAGGGCUGGAGUCUAUUGGAUCUAACUGCCCUUUACUCGAGGAACUCCGUGUCUUCCCUGCUGAUCCCUUUGAUGAUGAAAUUAUCCAUGGAGUGACUGAAGCAGGGUUUGUUGCUGUGUCUUAUGGUUGUCGGAAACUUCACUAUGUUCUCUAUUUUUGCCGGCAGAUGACUAAUGCUGCAGUAGCAACAAUUGUGCAAAAUUGCCCUGAUUUCACCCAUUUCCGUCUCUGCAUAAUGAAUCCAUUUCAACCAGAUUACACAACAAAUGAACCCAUGGAUGAAGCUUUUGGUGCAGUUGUGAAGACUUGUAGUAAACUUCAGAGGCUUUCAGUUUCAGGACUCUUGACCGACCUGACAUUUGAGUAUAUUGGCAAAUAUGCUAAAAAUUUGGAAACUCUUUCUGUCGCUUUUGCUGGCAGUAGUGACUGGGGGAUGCAGAGUGUGUUAGGUGGCUGUCCAAAAUUGAGAAAGCUUGAGAUGAGGGACUGCCCAUUUGGAAAUGUAGCACUUCUCUCGGGUUUGGAAAAGUAUGAAUCUAUGAGGUCACUUUGGAUGUCAUCCUGUAAUGUGACGAUGAACGGUUGUAGGCUACUGGCAAGAGAGAUGCCAAGAUUGAAUGUAGAGGUAAUGAAGGAGGAGGGGAGCGAUGACAGUCAAGCUGAUAAAGUUUAUGUUUAUCGUUCUGUUGCAGGAACAAGAAGAGACGCCCCUCCUACUGUUCUCACUCUAUCAGGUUUAUAAUGUGCCACUGAAGGCGCAUUGGCGACACGCUGUUUAUUUUAUCCACACAGCAAAUCAUAAAAUUUGGAAGCGGAAAAGAUACUUUUAGAAGAGUAAAGAUGAAGAAAAACGAGAAGCUAUACAUGGACAAUGUCCAAAGAAGGAAACAAUCCAUCUUCAUCUACUUUAUUUACCAUGCCCUUGAAUAGCAGAAUUGCAAGACUGCCAAUGCAGAAGUGAAUGAAGCAGCCAUGGUAAUGAGUCACAAAAGAACCAAAAUCCGUCCCUACGAUGCAUUGCCAUCCAGAUCCAUGCAGCCUGUCAAAAUCCUGCAGCAUCAAAUGCGGCACAACAUGUCAAGAGGUAUUCCGAUUUGAUUGUUCCAUUGUUAAAGAGGUUUCAGUUUCGAAAUCACCUUUUUUAUGAAGCAAGCAAUAUCAGUCGACUCGGUGACAUCAAAGAUAUCGAGGGCCUUAGCAGCUAAGUGAAGAGCAUCAUGCUGCAUGGUUUGAAUCAUGUCGGUCUCACCAACGAUAGCUUUGCCUUCUAACAUGGCGGGAGAGAAGUCUCUUUUGUUGAAGACGGCGGAAGAAGAGAUAGAGAUCGAGAGAUAGAGCUUUGUGUAUUGAGUGCAAUAUUUCUGAUGGGCUUUAUAGACUUUAAAAAGAAAGUAUUGCUGGCCUGCUCCUUGAAGGUGGUCUGAAUGUGAUCAUCUGGUUCAAUGAAAUUUAGCCAGGUAUUGCUAGUUUUUAGUUUGAAUAUACCAAAAUGUUUGGAUGCAUACGGAAUUGCAGAGGCCAUAGGAUCGUUUCUGAUCAACGGCUUGUCCCGGAGGCGAGUGGCAAAAGGGAUAAUAUUCUGGGUCCACAUUAUCCUGGAGAUGUGUUAAGUUUGUGGCUGAAUGGCUUCAGUUUUCAGCUGGUCUCCGCUGCUGCUGCUACAGGUCCUUCCUACUAAUGUUGUUCCUAACAGAAUUUUCAACCGAACUGAAACACUUCAGUUCGGUAGCACCGACACGAACAUGGAGAAACGAGACAGUUGGACAAUGUUCAAAAUUAGUACAUUUUUGUGUCCAAAAUACUAAUGUCCGACACAUUUCAGAAAAGGAAAAUGCGGCUUGAAUGAAUGAUCCGUGCUACCUAUCAUAAAUUCCAAGCUUUCUGAAAGUAGCUGGGCAGUGAAGUUAUUGUUCUUGUAGAAGCACAACUAGACUCACAGGAAUGUCAACUUUUUAAUAAAACCGUUUUGUGUAAAAAAAUGAAACAACAUUGGCUAAAUGAACUUACCGUUAAUUUUUUUUUCCACUCACGAGCCA